ensembl:scaRNA
CUCCUGAGUCCCCGACGUAGGCCCCUGUGAGCCCACAGUAUUUUCCUUAUAUGAUCAGGCCCUUUGUGGGCGGCGCUGCUUGCCCGGGCCUGAGAGGAUUAGAAGAACGUGCUAGGCGAAGUGCGGCCUAGGGGACUUGGAG